rnacentral:rRNA from 1 species
GCUUAACACAUGCAAGUCGAGGGGUAUUGGUUUUCGGACCAAGAGACCGGCGCACGGGUGCGUAACGCGUAUGCAAUCUACCUUUUGCAGGGGAAUAGCCCAGAGAAAUUUGGAUUAAUGCCCCAUAGUAUAAUGAUUUGGCAUCGGAUUAUUAUUAAAGUCACAACGGCAAAAGAUGAGCAUGCGUCCCAUUAGCUAGUUGGUAAGGUAACGGCUUACCAAGGCGACGAUGGGUAGGGGUCCUGAGAGGGAGAUCCCCCACACUGGUACUGAGACACGGACCAGACUCCUACGGGAGGCAGCAGUGAGGAAUAUUGGACAAUGGGCGCAAGCCUGAUCCAGCCAUGCCGCGUGCAGGAUGAAGCAUCUAUGGUGUGUAAACUGCUUUUGUACGAGAAGAAACACUCCAACGUGUUGGAGCUUGACGGUAUCGUAAGAAUAAGGAUCGGCUAACUCCGUGCCAGCAGCCGCGGUAAUACGGAGGAUCCAAGCGUUAUCCGGAAUCAUUGGGUUUAAAGGGUCCGUAGGCGGCCUUAUAAGUCAGUGGUGAAAUCUCACGGCUCAACCGUGAAAUGGCCAUUGAUACUGUAGGGCUUGAAUUAUUAGGAAGUAACUAGAAUAUGUAGUGUAGCGGUGAAAUGCUUAGAGAUUACAUGGAAUACCGAUUGCGAAGGCAGGUUACUACUAAUGGAUUGACGCUGAUGGACGAAAGCGUGGGUAGCGAACAGGA